UAUGAAUAAGUACAGUUGGGUUUCUUUUUCAAAUAAAAUUCACCCCGACCAGUAGACUAAGAAGAAAGAAGGCAACCUGUACGAUACGAACAUUGCAGCCCUUUUGCCACGCAGUCACGGCACAGCAAGGCCAUCUCCCACGAGAUGUCAAACCCUCCCAGCAACAUGUCGCGAACCGCAGCCUGCGUGCGAUUCCGAAGCGUGCCCGCCACCGGCACCGUCCCUGCGGUAGCGCAGCUCUUCCGAAGAGCGGCCACCGUCACAUGUCCCACCACCGCAUGCAAGUACUCUUUGGAGGAGGAAGAAUGAUCGACACAAGAGGCGAUGGGGAUAUAUGAAGGAUCGCCCUCCAAUGAUGCGGGGCAAGUCACGAACGUGACGCUGGUGUCGCUCGCUAGGUCGUAGGGACCGCCAUACGAGAAUUUCCCCGGAGGCAGGAAGGGUAGAGACCGCGGGGAGCAGCUCGCGGGAUCGAGGUCGGCGAGGACGACGCGGGCCACCUGGUCCUCGUAGGAGAUCUUCUCCACGUAGUACUUGGUCGAGUACAACUUCAAGACGGCUCGGUUCUGAUCACAUG
rnacentral:lncRNA from 1 species